AAUGUAUGACACUGUUGACAUUUUAUCCAACGUUUGACCAUUCGUCUUAUUCAAAAAAUUUAUACAAUUAUCAUUUAUUUUAUUGUGACUCGAUUAAUCAUCAAAUGUUCUUUAAGCAUGAUAUAAAUACUUUUAUAUUUGAACGAAAAUUUUGAAUAAAACGAAUGGUCAAACGUUGAUCGAAAAGUCAACGGCGUCAUACAUU
rnacentral:pre_miRNA from 1 species